rnacentral:rRNA from 1 species
UACGUAGGGGCCUAGCGUUGUCCGGAUUAUUGGGCGUAAAGAGCUCGUAGGCGGUUCGGCAAGUCGGAUGUGAAAUCUCCACGCUCAACGUGGAGGGGCCAUUCGAAACUGCCGUGACUCGAGUCCGGUAGGGGAGUGUGGAAUUCCCGGUGUAGCGGUGAAAUGCGCAGAUAUCGGGAGGAACACCAGUAGCGAAGGCGGGUCUCUGGGCCUAACUGACGCUGAGUGCGCGAAAGCCAGGGGGAGCAAAACGGGG